UACGUAGGGGGCGAGCGUUGUCCGGAAUCAUUGGGCGUAAAGAGCGUGUAGGCGGGCCAGUAGGUCUGGUGUGAAAGCCCGGGGCUCAACCCCGGAGGGUCACUGGAAACCCCUGGUCUUGAAUCUGGAAGAGGAGAGUGGAAUUCCUGGUGUAGCGGUGGAAUGCGCAGAUAUCAGGAGGAACACCAAUGGCGAAGGCAGCUCUCUGGUACAUGAUUGACGCUGAGACGCGAAAGCGUGGGGAGCGAACAGG
rnacentral:rRNA from 1 species